rnacentral:lncRNA from 1 species
GAGUCGCACAUGCGCAGUGUGAAGCCGGCGCGCCGCGGUUUCUGCGCCGAGCGCCUGCGCAGGGGGUGGGUUCCUGCCCCAAGGCGGAGGCUGGUCCAGGAACGGUUGCUGAUGGAGAGCCGGGGAGUGAUCCUUCGCUGGAAAACGGUGACCCCUAAGGUUAAGGAUCUAACAGCACUCGGAGGAAAGAGAGAGAGCCUCAAUCCACUGUCUUUGUGUGGGAAAAAAAAGAAAAAAUCCGGAAGGCAGAGAGGAGGAAAUACAGUGUGAAUCCGGGUCCUGAAGUCUUUGUUAACAGUGUGGCUACUGAUGGAAAAUGACUUCCUGGUCGCAUGUGCCAGAGGGCUGAGGGUUCCUGCAGAUGUUCCACACAGGGGCGUCCGAGGUUCCCCAGAACAGACAGCUAGAGGUCGAAACCAGGGCACAACGAAAUUGCUCCUACACAGAAUCGCUGAGGUCUGCAAGGGAGAAGUUGCAGCAGCAGUGGCUGAAGCGAGAGCUGUGUCUGAUGAGACUGGAAGUGGUUCACCAUCCAGACCUGUGAAGGGGUGCAUUUUACCUACUUCCGUGCUAAAAGCUGGGCUGUCGCAGGUUCAUGGAAGCAGGCAGAAGACAUGAGACGGCUGGGUCGGAGACAAAGGAUUUCAUUACCUACGGCACAGCCAGCCUGAGCUGCAGGUUCCUGCUUCCCCAAGUCCCACAGGGACAACAAAGAGGUGGGUUCAAGGGCGUGUGGCACACACAGUGUGAGAACAGCUGAGGAGUUUGAGCCCAAGAAUCUUCCUCUCUCUCUCUCUUUCUUUCUCUCUCUCUUUCUUUCUUUCUUUUCUUUCUCUUUCUUCCUUUAUCUCUCUCUCUUUCUUUCUUUCUUUCUUUCUUCCUUCCUUCCUUCCUUCCUUUAUCUCUCUCUUUCUUUCUUUCUUUAUCUCUCUCUUUCUUUCUUUUCUUUUCUUCCUUCAUUCCUUUCUCUUUCUCUUUCUUUCUUUCUUUUUCUUUCUUUCUUUCCUUCCUUCCUUCCUUCCUUCAUCUCUCUCUCUUUCUUUCUUUUCUUUCUUUCUUUCUUUCUUUCUUUCUUUCUUUCUUACUUUCUUUCUUUCUUUCUGUGUGUGAUGGCCACAAGCAAACCUGCUCAAGCAUUUCCCUGGUAAAAGACAUUAUCUUUAUUAAUGCUCAGAAAACAACCCCCCCAAAAAACAACAAAAACAAAAACAAAAAACCUGCCCUCCUCUCCAGAGAAAAAUACUUCCAAAGCUGUGUGCUAGAUAAAUACCCUUAAAAAAUAGUCUAGAACUACUCAGUGAUUCUACUCACGAGAUAUAAACGAAAGUGAGAGAUCAGCAGAAAAUUAUCUCCCAACAUGGACUAGAGGCGUUCCAUACAUAGGAUGUUUAGCAGGUAAGUAACAGCAACGUUGAGAGUCUUUAGAGACUGGUCACUUCACUUAAUGAGAUAAUCUCUGCCGAGCCUCUUGUUCCCGGGUUGGUUGGGAAAUUUCACACAAGUAUCUGAGCUAAACUAGGAAACACCUUCGACGUUCUGUGGGUCUUCUGUGACCCUUACUCACUCCCACACAUUACUGUCACGAUUGCAUGUACUUAUGUCAUAUUGCCAUUCGGUC